CACCUUCAUAUUUGCCUUUACAUUCAGGCUAUAAAUAGAUUACACCUUUUAAAUUUUCCUUGCAUCUUUGCUAUAAAUGGAACAUUGUUCAAUGUUGCUUUUGCAUAUAGGCUAUAAACGAAUGGCACCUUCAAAGUUUUCUUUGCGUUCAGACUAUAAAUGGAUUGCACAAUCAUAGUUGCCUUUGCAUCCGAGUUAUAAACGAAUUUCACCUUCAAAGUUGCCUUUGUAUCUGGGCUAUAAACGGAUUGAACGUUCAAAGUAUCCUUUGCAUAUGAGAUAUAAACGAAUUGCACCUUUCAAAGUUGUCGUGCACCCUUGCUAUAAACGGAUCGCCUUUAAAAGUUCCCUUUGUAGCCUUUUUAUAAACGAAUUGCGCCUUCGAAGUUGCGUUGCAUCCACACUACAAACGGAAUGAAACUUCAAAGUUGCCUUGCAUCCGGGCUAUAAGCAUAUCACUUUUCAAAAUUUCCAUUGUAGCCUUUUUAUAAACGGAUUGCCCCUUCCAAGUUACGUUUGCGUCU
rnacentral:lncRNA from 1 species